rnacentral:lncRNA from 1 species
CAUCUCUGAGUAUCAAGCAGAAUUUCACUUGAUUUUUGUCUCAUCACUGCUUCCAGUAGACCGUAUCUUGAUUAGCUUCUCUUUGGCUCGGAAGAGGACGGCAUGAAAUUCAUCAAAAUAAGGUUGAGUUGCAUUUCUUGUAUCGUCAAUCCACUUCCCAAUCUUUUUAUAUGGGUCUAAUAUUUGUUUGCGAACCUUCUCAUCUAAGACCUAAAAUUCAACCAUAGUCUUGAAAUGAGGAUAAUUCCUUUGUCAUGUAUACUCAAAAGAUAAAAUGCAGGUAGGAUCUCUGAAGUCGAGAGAAAUAGGUUCAUAAUAUCUGUAUGAGCAUAAACACCAAAACAAAAAAAAAAAAAAAAAAAAAAAAAAAAAAAACGAGAUGCAGAAGACAUCUAUCUUCACCUCAAGUUGCAUAAUUUCAGAGACUAAAAUCAGGUCUGCCAUGGAAGGUUGAGAUCUUCCCAGCAGAAAGUGUCCAUCACGCUUGAGCCAGAAGGAUUCGACCUUUGGAAGAGAAGCUAGGAGGACUUUUCUAGCUUCAGCUGCUGCUUCUAAAUUC